UUUUGUCGGAGGAGGGAGUUCCCUUUUCCCCUGAAUCUGGUGGGGGCAGCUGGAGAUCUUCCCGCCCCCAACCCCCUGCCCUUAUCUGCCCCCACCACACCUCCACCCCCAACGUCAACUGAGAGAUCCCAGAAAUUCCUGCACUUUCCUGCGUGACUGUGUGUGAGGGAGGAAAAAAAUGAGCACAACUGAUUGAUGCAUGUGGAAAAGGUGUACAAUGUGUAACACUUGUGGACCUCUCACAUCCUGAACAGGAAACACAUGGAGGGAAAAAUGGAUAUUUGAUGAAGUAGAG